UUACGGUCAUAUCACGUUGAAACAUCAGUUCCCGUACGAUCAACGAAGUUAAGUAACGUCGAGUCAGGUCAGUACCGAGAUGGGUGACCGUUUGGAAAUGCCAGGUGCUAUA